UUCUUAUUUUGUAUUGCUGUUUCAGGUUGACAUCUUGCAAUACUAUUAUAUCACUUAAAAAGAGUUGUGAAUUGAUGUUUAAGGUGAGAAUUAGUUUAUUCUCUUUCAUGACUGGGGCAAGAGUUAAAAUUUGUUCUUAUUGUUACCAAUUUUUUGUCCCUUUCUCAUUGUCCUAGAAUGUUUUGCUUUAAGCUUCUAAACUCUAGGAUGGGAAUUCAUUGUGAUGAAGGCCGUUGUCAUCUACUCAACUUCUCUUUCACAUUCAUCAUUCCUUUGCAGGUUAAAUAAACAGCAUUUCUUCAUUGUUUGGUAUUUAUUCAGAUUUUUGUACUGCUAAAUGCAGAGGUUGAAAGACCACUUGUUCUGAAAACAAAGUGAGAUUCAACAGCAUAUUUCUUCCAGACAAGAAACAUAAAAAACCCAUAGUUUUACUUUCAUUUAAUUUGGAUUUUCAGGAAAAAUGGAGCAUCCAGAAGUUCCUCCAAAAUAUGUAAAGCAUUUGUCCCAAAUUGAAGCCUUAUUUAUCUUAAACCUUAUUUUCUAUCCAAGAGUAAAUUUCUGCAUGCAUAUGUUCUUGAUGAGUGGGAUAUGAAUUCUGAAUCAUUUUGACUGGACUUCACUUUAUCCGAACACUGGUUCAUCAAGUAUGAGGAAUCAUAGGGAUGCUGUUGAAAUUCUAAAAUAGGAAAGUGGAGAGCAUAUGCAAAGGGUUGCUGAAUUAAUGCAUUGGCGGGUCAUGCUACUAUCCAUCUUAUUCUUUUUGUUAUGUAAUUCUGCCUUCAUUUUCUUUUCGUGGAUAAAGGAUUAAUUUUGAUUCAAUGUGCAGAAGUUAUUAGAACAAACAUUAAAAACCAAAACAAUGUCAUGGCAGCAAUUACUUGAUUGGCUUGACAGAAUUCGCAUUCGCAGAACCACAAUUAAUGGGUUGGGCCUUCCACACAAGAAUUUCCACGCAUUGGAUUACAACUUUGGAGUCUGCUGCCAGAAGAUUCAUAAAAAGUGGUUGGACAGUAAAAACAUAGUGUAAGCACUCUACUUCAAUUCUGUGUUCAAAAACAAGCAAUGCAAUGAAUAAUGCCAAAAUAUCAUCAAUGUCAAAACCCUCCAUGCAGCAGUCAUCUUCACAACUUCACUGGCGGCAAAGAUGACAGAGAUGCACUAGCCUGUGCAGGUUGUGUCCUCAGCAUCCCGGAGUAAAGCUUACAGGGAUAAGAUUCCUGCUUGAUGACUAUUCAGAGAACAUCUCUGAAAAGCUGGCAGUUAUAAAAUAAAUCUUGUUGAGCUGGAAGCAGAAAUGAAACAUGUUGUAUUAGAGUGGUUCUCUGCUGCUAUAAUUUCCCAAGUUGUGUGUACCAUUUUUGGUGGUUUUGGACUUCACAAAUGCAACAUGUUGGUCUUGUAACUGUCCCAGAUUUUUUCACUUAACACAUAAGCCAUAGGUUGGGUGUUCCAUGGGGUUGAUCUGUUGAUCAAGGUCUUAGUUUGGCUUACUUUGUUAAGUUUUUCCUGAAUUUCUCUAA